rnacentral:misc_RNA from 1 species
GGCGGCCGCGGUAAUUCCAGCUCCAAUAGCGUAUAUUAAAGUUGUUGCAGUUAAAAGCUCGUAGUUGAAUUUCGGGAUCAAUACGUCGGUCGUGCUUCGGUACGUACUGGCGUAAUUGAUUUCUCCCUUCUGACGAACCAUGAUGUCAUUAACUUGGUGUCAUGGGAAAUCAGGACUGUUACUUUGAAAAAUUAGAGUGUUUAAAGCAGGCUCACGCUUGAAUACAUUAGCAUGGAAUAAUGAAAUAAGACGUUCGAUCCUAUUUUGUUGGUUUUUAGGAUCAACGUAAUGAUUAAUAGGGAUAGUUGGGGGCAUUAGUAUUCAAUUGUCAGAGGUGAAAUUCUUGGAUUUAUUGAAGACUAACUACUGCGAAAGCAUUUGCCAAGGAUGUUUUCAUUAAUCAAGAACGAAAGUUAGGGAUCGAAGACGAUCAGAUACCGUCGUAGUCUUAACCAUAAACUAUGCCGACUAGGGAUCGGAUGAUGUUAAUUUUUAAUGUACUCAUUCGGCGCCUUACGGG